AGUGGUAGGGAGCUUUUUCACGCCACUCGUCCGGAUCCCCUUCACCAGUUCUCAUUUUCUCUUUAGUUUUGUAUAGAAAAACCAUGAUCUAGACAAAUCCAACCGUCAAAACUCAAAUUCAUCUUCGGUAACGUGAUCUAUGAAGCCCGAUCUACAUUUUCACCGAUCGUUUUAAGGUAAUGGGUUACUUGGAACUUGCUUGAGAUUACCCAAACCAUGGGUUUUGGUUUGGUGAAAUUUUGACAUUGAUGUUUUGGUUGCAGGUUAUGUGGAUAUAGAUAUUGACUCGUUCACCUAGCGUAUGGGAUGCUUUGAUUGGAGCACAUCGCGACAGUCAUAAAUCACAGACUCAUGAGUAGUCCGUAUUUUGGGUAUUUUAUUUAUGGCUCGUGUCCUACGUGGUUUACGUAUUUGAUGAGUCUGUAUUUUGAUAUGUAAUUAUAGUAAAAUGUUUUAUAAGCUUUAAUCAGUUAGACAUGUA